rnacentral:lncRNA from 1 species
AUGGGUUCAAUAAACAAAAUUGCCACAUUCGGGCUUGCCCCCCACCUAACCCUACAAAGCUUUGGACCUCAUUCCCAAUUGUUCCCUAAUUCUGAGGCGGGUAGAAAAUCAGGCGAGGUGAGCGGCCAAAUCGGAAUAUUCUAAGACGCCCCCACGGGACGCCGGCCACACCAGGCACAGGAGUCGCUCCUCAUAGCGAGUCUGGUGCGGCCUACGCGCGGCGCUUCCUUUCGGACCUGAGGCCCAGACCCUCAAAAUAGAGGGAGCGGAUAAGGAAGUCAUAAUAUUAAUGAACUCUGAGGACUGCUAUGAGGAUAAAAUGGGAUCAUCAUCAUCAUCAUCAUCACUUACUCAAUGCGUACUACAAUCCUGGCACUCCUCUAAGUGUUACAAAUAUAUUAACUCCAACAAUAACUCCAGAAGAAAUCCUAGUAUUGCAUAAGUGAUCUUCAUGAAGCUUCCUAUUCCCUGUGGAGUUUGGAAGGAGAGGCAUUCCUGUAGGCUUCUGCUGAGAAGGGAAGAAGAGUCUUCCUGCUUGGACACUGGGCUUCUGAAAAGGCCAUGUGCUCUCCUAUCUCACAGUUUUCUUUCUUUUACUUUUUUUGUUUGUCUUUUUUCUCUUUUUUUAUUCUUUUUUUCUUACCUCACAGUCUUGUAUGUGUUUUGACUGUCACAAGAAUGAGCAUUGGACGUGGUAGAAAAAAUUCUUGGAUUAGUGCCUCUCAUUAGUCCCUAAAAAUACAUAUGUAUCUGGCCCCAACUCCUGGUGACUCUCUAAGCUUAUGAUGCAUUUUUUGGUAUGUUUUGUAUACAGUUUUGAGCUUCCGCAAUGAUUUUUAAAACAGGACAAAAUCCCAUAUGAACCUUCUGUUAUACUCCAUUAAAUUGUCAAUACCAGAGAUACAGGAAAAUUAUUUUCUCAUUCUAACUUUAUAUACCCAAUAUCUAACAAAGCAGCUGCAAAAUGGUUGCUACUCAAUAAAUAUUUGUUGAAUGAAUGAAGGAAUGAAAAGCCAAAUGUAAUACAUAGAAAAGUUGAUUAUAAAUUCUUUGGUACAAAAUAGACAGACAAAACAUAAUCUAGGAAAUAUGCACCCUGAGAAAUUGCUAUCAUCAUCUUAAUACCUUAUAACAACGAAAGUUCUUAAACUGGUCCCCUUAAUACCAUUGUGUUUAUUUUCUGUAUGUUUAUACUUUUAUGCUUUGGUUUCAUUUUCUACUUAUUAGUUAAAUGAUUAUGAGAACUGUGGGGAUAAAUUUAAAACAUUACUGUGUUUCUAUAGAGAGUUCUGCUGUAAUGCAGUGAUUAUGAAAUGAUCUCAAAUCUAUUCAGAAUUAUUAAAAGGUACAGUUCAAUAAAUAUUUUUAUUUUUGUUAAUUCUUCCCCAAAUCACAUUAAAACGAUCCUUUUGCACUUAAGUGAUUUCGUCAGUUUUGUAUUCAUUUUAAAUGCCAGAUUCUUUUUCUAAGAUUCAAAGUUUCUGAAAACUUUAUUUUUAAGCAAUAUAUUCUGAGAAGACUUAAAUCUAAAUUCAAUUGUUCAGAUAAAUAUGAAUACAAUUUAAUAAAAAGUACUGAAUGCUGUGUUUUAUAAUUCCUUAGAAAAUUUGGGAACAUUACUAGGUUCCCAAGUAGAUUGAUAAUACCUGAGAGAUCAGCCGUGACCAACAUUUAGUUACAUUAACAGGAAUACUUGAUAUGAGCAAAUCCGUACAUAUUUUUAUUAAAAGUGCAAAUAUAAAUAAUUAAAUGAUUCUGUUCUAAUGCCCUUCAUUCCAAUGCCUAGAACAGGAAAAAAGACAUGAACCUCUUUAAGAAGUCAUGUUCAAAAAAUUGCUAGUAGUUUACAGAGAUUACUGAAGAAACAACUGUCAAACUCAGCCAAUUGCUUAUCAGGAGUGGGCUUAGAAAGGCAAGUUACCAGGGAAACCUCUUCCUCACUGGAAAAGGAUAAAUGUGUACUAGGAGUCCACAUAUGGCAAGACUGUAAUCUUGCUAUGCUUUAAUUUUAUCUAGGUUAGCCACAGUGGAGAAAACACUGUAGAGACUAGAAGCUAAGAGUGCAGAAGGGCAAAAGCAAUUUUUAUAACUUUAAGUUGAUUAUUAGUACUACUAAUAAUGCUAAUGGUAGUGCUUACACUAUUAACAAAAAUAAUUAUAAACACUUACAAAGCACUCUGUCUUAGUCAUUUGGGCUGCUGUAACAAAAAUACCAUAGAGUGGGUAGCUUAAACAACAAAUAUUUAUUUCUUACAUUUCUGGAAGUUGGGAUCAAAGUGUGAGCAGAUUCAGUGUCUGGUGAGGGCUUGCUUCCUGGUGCAUAGAUGGCCAUCUUCUUGCUGUGUUUUUUUUUUUUUUUUUUUUUUUUUAAGAUGGAGUCUCGCUCUGUCACUCUGUUGCCCAGGUUGGAGUGCAGUGGUGUGAUCUCGGCUCACUGAGACCUCUGCCUCAGGGGUUCAGGUGAUUCUCCUGCCUCAGCCUCAUGAGUAGCUGGGACUACAGGCACUUGCCACCACGCCCAGCUAAUUUUUGUAUUUUUAGUAGAGACGGGGUUUCCAUAACAAUGGAAAUUAGGCUAUAGUAUAUAAAUUUUAGGGGGACACAUCCAUUCGAUAGCCUGCUCUAUAGUUUAAAAAUUGCACUCUUUUGAAUUCUGUCUUUUGGGAGACAUUAUUGCCAUCAGUCUCAUAAUAGAGAUGAGAAAACUAAAGUUAAGUGCAUUAGCUGUGGUCAUACAGGGGUUAAUCAAGAGCCCAGAAGUUGUAUUCAAUCUCCUUGAUUCUAGUGCAUACUCCUUUUGCAUAUUACUCAUUUUUCUAAAAUCAUGUUAACUCCUCUUCUUGCUAGUAAGAAGAUGCAGUGGUAGAUUUAUCAUGAAUUAAAGGAAGUAUAGUUUCAGGCACCCUCACUUGCAUAAGCCCAUUCCAAUGUCUUGGAGUAGCCCUAAUAGUGUUCAUAUAUUUAUGUAAAUUUAUACAUAUAUACACAAAUAUAUGUAUAUAUUUAUAUAUUUAUGUAAAGUUAUACAUGUACACAUAAACAUUUAUAUUUUUUAAUCUAAAUAUAUGU